UGAAUGUACCGGAAGAAUAAGGAUCGGCUAACUCCGUGCCAGCAGCCGCGGUAAUACGGAGGAUCCAAGCGUUAUCCGGAUUUAUUGGGUUUAAAGGGUGCGUAGGCGGCCUGUUAAGUCAGGGGUGAAAGACGGUAGCUCAACUAUCGCAGUGCCCUUGAUACUGAUGGGCUUGAAUGGACUAGAGGUAGGCGGAAUGAGACAAGUAGCGGUGAAAUGCAUAGAUAUGUCUCAGAACACCGAUUGCGAAGGCAGCUUACUAUGGUCUUAUUGACGCUGAGGCACGAAAGCGUGGGGAUCAAACAGGAUUAGAUACCCUGGUAGUCCACGCCCUAAACGAUGAACACUCGCUGUUGGCGAUACACAGUCAGCGGCUAAGCGAAAGCG
rnacentral:rRNA from 1 species